CACCCGGAGUCCGUGGGAGAAAGAACCUGGUGAGCAGACGGACACCCGUCCAGUCCCGCGACCCGAGGAAUGCGACGUGAGCUAGGAGAGAGGGUGUCCGCUGUGGUAACCGCGCUGCACGACACUGGACGCUUAAUAACUGCCUGUUAAAUGGAUGAGUGAAUUAAUUAGUUUAGGUAGUGCUACGGUGUUUUCACAUUCAUGACCUGACUGCUCGCACUCUCACGGAGAGGCAGGUACGGUCGUCCCAUUUUGUAGCGGAGAAUAUCGAAGCUACAAAAGGCGAAAUGGUUGCUCACCAUCAUCUGGCCAGAAUUCGUGGGCUCGUGGACGUCCUAACCUGGGUAUGUCACUCUCUGGACAUAACUUUACAGAAAUUUUUUACCGUAUCACCAUUGCUGUGGAUAUCAGCUAAUUUAUGACACUAAUGACAUCAUCCUGAUGGACCUUGAGAACGGGAAGUAGCAGAUACCCGAGAUGACUUGGUGAGGUUCUGGUGGCCUUUGGUUGGAGGACGUUGACAGAAAAGGAGAUUCACCAAGAUUCAGUGAAAGCCCUCACCACCUCGGAGCAGGACUCUUGCAUCACUAACAGCGUGUGCAUUUGAGACCCUGUGUCUCUACCUGCUUGAGGCCGGCUGAAUAGCUCAGUUGAUUAAGAGCGCGAG